rnacentral:rRNA from 1 species
AUGCAGGAAGAGAUGCAGUCACUUGAGAAAAAUGGCACAUGGGAUGUUGUGAGCUUGCCUAAACAUAAGAAGACCGUUCGCUGCAAAUGGAUCUUCAAAAGAAAUGAGGGUUUUUCUCCUAGUGAGCUCGCGAGGUUUAAGGCAAGGUUAGUAGCUAAGGGUUUCAGCCAGAUACCAGGUAUUGAUUAUAAUGAUGUGUUCUCUCCAGUUGUGAAGCAUAGUUCCAUUCGUGCAUUUUUUGGUAUUGUUGCUAUGCACGAUCUUGAGCUUGAGCAGUUAGAUGUCAAGACUGCUUUUCUGCAUGGUGAACUGGACGAGGAGAUUUACAUGGACCAACCAGAAGGUUUCAUUGUGCCUGGUAAGGAGAAAUUUGUUUGCAAGUUAAAGAGGUCCCUAUAUGGUUUGAAACAGUCUCCGAGACAGUGGUAUAAAAGGGCAAGAAAGAAAUCACUACUUUAA